rnacentral:ncRNA from 1 species
AAAGCACUUCGCUCUGAUGCAAGAUUAGCUAUUACUGUCAAACUUCAUAUGGUAAUCCAAGUGGUUUGCGAAUUGUUACCUUGUGUGAAGCACGUUAAACACCAAACCACACACAUCAUAACACUAGGAUAGCUAGAACCUAAAGGCAAUUGCCCGCAACACCAAUGAACUAUAUUGUGCUCAAGUUAGGAAACUAAGCCACAAGAAUAGUAAAUCAAUAGUGACCAAGGGGGUGCCAGCAGUCGCGGUUAGACCCCAACUCGAAACUAAUCUACACCAAUACGGGGCACAUGUCUAAUUUGACUUAUAAUCCUAGAACCACAAAGGUGAAAUUUAAACAAGAUAGAUAUACCCAAAUAAGUCAUCUAACAAAUGUACCCCAACAAACCACACCGACAAGACACGGAUUAGAUACCCGUUUAUUGCGUGGCUCAACAUUUUAAACUCUAAAAACGAAAGUUCCAAACUUAAAAAGCGUGGCGGUAUUCUACACCUUAUUAGGGGAUCCUGUGACUUAAUUCGAUAGUCCACGAACACCAAAGCUCUGUUAGCUCCACAGCUUAUGUAUGGCCGUUUCAAGUCUGCACACUAACAAAACAAAAGGAGACACCUAAGGUAAAACACCUUAACAACACAGGUAACAUAUAGCCAAUACAAAGCAGUCCAUGGGAUACAAAUGACCACAACCAUCCAAAAAAGAAUGAAACUUCUUCUAUAAGGAGGACUUAAAAGUAAGGCUAUAACAUAAAUUCAGCCUGAACAAGAAAUAGAAUGCGUACAAAUCGCCCGUCACUCCCGAUAAUUAAAUCGGGAUAAGUCGUAACAUAGUAGGAGUAACGGAAGUUGCCCCUAUACCAAU